GUAGGUGGCAAGCGUUGUCCGGAAUUAUUGGGCGUAAAGCGCGCGCAGGCGGUUCUUUAAGUCUGAUGUGAAAGCCCACGGCUCAACCGUGGAGGGUCAUUGGAAACUGGAGAACUUGAGUACAGAAGAGGAAAGCGGAAUUCCACGUGUAGCGGUGAAAUGCGUAGAGAUGUGGAGGAACACCAGUGGCGAAGGCGGCUUUCUGGUCUGUAACUGACGCUGAGGCGCGAAAGCGUGGGGAGCAAACAGGGAUUAGAUACCCUGGUAGUCCACGCCGUAAACGAUGAGUGCUAAGUGCUAGGGGGGUUUCCGCCCCCCUUAGUGCUGCAGCUAACGCAUUAAGCACUCCGCCUGGGAGUACGGCCGCAAGGCUG
rnacentral:rRNA from 1 species